rnacentral:rRNA from 1 species
GACGUAGGGCGCAAGCGUUGUCCGGAUUUAUUGGGCGUAAAGAGCUCGUAGGCGGUCUGUCGCGUCUGCUGUGAAAACUCAGGGCUUAACCCUGAGCUUGCAGUGGGUACGGGCAGACUAGAGUGCGGUAGGGGAGACUGGAAUUCCUGGUGUAGCGGUGAAAUGCGCAGAUAUCAGGAGGAACACCGGUGGCGAAGGCGGGUCUCUGGGCCGUAACUGACGCUGAGGAGCGAAAGCAUGGGGAGCGAACAGG